rnacentral:rRNA from 1 species
AACAAGGAUUCCCUUAGUAACUGCGAGUGAAGAGGGAAAAGCUCAAAUUUAAAAUCUGGCAGUGUUUCACUGUCCGAGUUGUAACCUAGAGAAGUGUAACCUGCGCUGGACCGUGUAUAAGUCUCCUGGAAUGGAGCAUCACUGAGGGUGAGAAUCCCGUCUUUGACACGGACCACCAGUGCAUUGUGGUUGUGCUCUCAACGAGUCGAGUUGUUUGGGAAUGCAGCUCUAAAUGGGUGGUAAAUUCCAUCUAAAGCUAAAUAUUGGCGAGAGACCGAUAGCGAACAAGUACCGUGAGGGAAAGAUGAAAAGAACUUUGGAAAGAGAGUUAAACAGUAUGUGAAAUUGUUGAAAGGGAAACGUUUGAAGUCAGUCGCGUUGGUUGGGGAUCAGCCUGACAUUGUUGGGUGUACUUCCUGGUCGACGGGCCAACAUCAGUUUUGAUUGCCAGAAAAAGGCCAAAGGAAUGUGGCACCUUUGGGUGUGUUAUAGCCCUUGGUCGUAUAUGGUGGUUGGGACUGAGGAAAGCAGCGUGCCGAAAGGCYGGGUUUCGACCACGUUCACGCUGAGGAUGUUGGCAUAAUGGCUUUAAGCGACCCGUCUUGAAACACGGACCAAGGAGUCUAACAUGCAUGCGAGUGUUUGGGUGGAAAACCCUUACGCGUAAUGAAAGUGAAAGUUGAGAUCCCUGUCGUGGGGAGCAUCGACGCCCGGACCAGAACUUUUGGGACGGAUCUGCGGUAGAGCACGUAUGUUGGGACCCGAAAGAUGGUGAACUAUGCCUGAAUAGGGUGAAGCCAGAGGAAACUCUGGUGGAGGCUCGUAGCGAUUCUGACGUGCAAAUCGAUCGUCAAAUUUGGGUAUAGGGGCGAAAGACUAAUCGAACCAUCUAGUAGCUGGUUCCUGCCGA